GAGACCCCGAUCUGUAGGAACGCCGGGUAUGGUCCCGUAAUUAACAACAAGACUCUCCUCUGUCCAUCCGCAUAACUCCCAUGAAGAAAAAUCUCUAAACUCCAGUCACCACCUUUAUGUCGAUCUAAGCGGUGGAGAGUUUGGUAUGGUGGCAAAUCAAGCAACUGCAGAUGGAGUCAUUCCAUGUUACUGCAUUGAGUUAGCAUACAUGGCAUGGAUGAUAGAUCAAACCCAAGUGAUUUGGAUUCUCAUGCUGGCACCUUCUCACAGUCGUGAACAUCCGUGAGUGAAUUUGGUUAUUUAGAACAAAAUCUAAGACUUGACCAAAUGAAAUUGGUUUUUUGUUGAACUGAACGACACACAUAUUGCCUAACCAUAAUUAUUUUACCUAUCACGACCUCAUGUGCUCCUGAAGCAAGCUGAUGUGUGUUGUGUGUACACGUUGUACACUGAAUUGUUCAUGCGAAAAGAUACAGCAGUAGAUACAAUCUACGCCAUGGAGCCGCUGGUGGGGCUCGACGAGGACGAGCGCUAGAAGGAGGUGUGCAUGAUGCCCAAACGUGGUGUCGAGGCCUUCCACAUCCGCACCCAAGCUGCGUCACUACCAAGCUGCUACAAGCAUACAGGGCCUUCCGUGUUCAAGCUGAAAAGGCAAGAAGAUCUCAUUAUUAACAUGGAUAAAAAAGGUGGAACGUCUUCUUCAGUAGAAUUACACAAUGGUUGGCUGAAGCUUUGGAGUGCUAAAGUUCCAAGAAAGAUUCCUGGAGGAAGCUGUUAGUAAUUUGUGAUUUCUCGUGAUCUAAAAUUGUCGAUCGGAAAUUUUCUUCAUCGAAGUCCAUUCCAAUCGCCAACAAUUCUGUUUGCACACUCAGGUUUGUGCUUUUCUAUGGUGAUUUAUUAAACAUACUUUGGCUUACGAUCCCCUUUGACGUACACUUGUGCCCUCCACUACACAUUAUUUUCAGUUUGCCAAAUACUGUAGUAGGUAAUGAACUACAGAAAGCGGAUUGUUGAGUUUGCCAAGCAUAAUGGCACACCUAAUUUUGGCAAAUCACCUGAAGAGUAUAUCAAGCAAAGAUGCUUUGAAAUUUUCACGACUAUAUGAGGUUACCAUAAACUCCUGUAUUGCCACAAUAGCUUCUUUUAAGGCAAUAGGGAAUUGUCUUUUUUUUGUAUCAGGUAAAUAGUUCCUUUCUCACACUUUUUUCAGACUGAGAUCGUGUGCUGCUGCUGUGUGGUGUUCUAUUUCUGCUGUAUUUUUUUUUUGCUUUUUUGGGGGGCUUCUUCUCAUUCUUCUUUGGCACCUACGCUCUGCUUGGGGAAACUUCGUACAUGGCAAUACAUAGACUGGAAUUGAGAUUCGGAGCAAUUUUGUUCGUUUUCCUUUGUACUGAUGUUGCCAUUAUUUGUGCGAUGAUGCCAUUAUAUUGUACAAAGGGAAGAGACAGUUAGAGAGAUGGAUAGAAAUUACUAGCUACUGUAUUUGUGUUGUAAUUGUUUAUUAUUAAAGCUUAUUGUUUAUUGGUUGUUA